AAUGUAUAGUCAAAUUUUAAAUAAUGUAGGCUUAUAAUCCUUUGAUUGUAAAUUAUUUUCCCUACUACGUAAAGCUGGUACAAUAGCAGUACGGUUUUUUAUAUACCGAAAAGCAUUCAGUCAUCAUGGAGUCCAGGAUGAUUUACGAUGUGAUGGUAGAACAAUGCUGGAUUAUCACCCUAUAAUUCUUGAAACUACAUUAGUUUCCAAUGCCAGUGGAUCGGCAAGGCUGAGACUUGCAAACUCAUCAACAUCUGGAAAAUGAAAUUUGCAAAUUCCUACAAAGAUCCUAUGCUUCAGAUUCUUGAAUGUGGAGUGAACCCUUAUGAUGCACUGUCAUUGGCUGAGAAAUCGGCUCUUUAUGCAACCCAAAUUCCAUUAAAAUAGCAACCAUGGACGGAUAUCAACAUGAACUGGAGCUCUCAGAUGAUCCUUAUGAUACCAAGAGACUAAACACAGAGAACAUUCCUAGUGUACUGACUUUGAUGAAGGAGGUGGUGUCCUGGUGGCACGUUGCGAACAUGACGCUGUCACCGUUGGAUCGGCUGGUGAUAACCAAUUUAUCAACAUCAAAGCUCUUAAUGAAUGGGACUCAAGGUUGUCUGGUGAAGUCGAAUGGCGCCAGAAACUGGACACUCAGCGAGGUGCUGUUCAGGCCAACGAGCUGAAUAAUGCAUGCAAGCUAGCAAAAUGGACUGUGCAAGCUCUGCUCGCCAACUCUGAUUGGAUUAAAUUCGGAUAUGUUUCCCGUAUACACAUACGAGAUACAUCGCGUCGUGUAAUCCUUGGAACACAGCAGUUCCACCCGUCAGAUUUCGCAUCACAAAUCAACCUUAACAUCGACAAUGCUUGGGGCAUUCUCCGUUGGAUUAAUGAUUUGUGUAUGAAGGAAGAGGAUGGCAAAUAUUUGUUGGUGAACGAUCCUAACAAGCCCGUCAUCCGCCUUUACAAGGUGCCCGAUAACACGUUUGAGAGCGACGAUGAAGCAUUUUUCGGAGAAGGUUUGAAACCAAUCAAUAUCGUAACGUGCGUGUGUAACUGCUGGCUUGCUUUUUUUGCUUGGGUGUUGGCCUCUCUUUUUUUUUACUAGCAAAGAUUAAAUAAACACGUCCAAGCAGUUAAUCAAAUUUCCCUGCAUUUGUACGCCGUGUUACGUUUUGCUUGAAUUCGUAGCUCGAGCUUUGUAUUUAUGUAUAAUAUCUAACCACUAGUGGAAGUGCUUGGCUUCUUGGGGGAAAAAAACCUAAUUAGAUAUGCGACAUGACUUAAGGUAGUUUUAAAAAAGGCGCUAUUAAACGCAUGAUUUCAUAACGUCAACUACGAAAUGGUAAAUAACAAUGUAUUCAUUUUUUACACAUGAAUAGAAGACGAGUAACGGCUGAUACAAACAAAAGAACAGCUCUUCCACCAAUUCCCAAAUCUACAACAAUACUACGUUUGUAAUGAUCGUUACAUGGAAUAAAGCACUUAUGAAGCUUCCAGUUUA